rnacentral:rRNA from 1 species
CAGUCGCCGCGGUAAUACGAAGGGGGCUAGCGUUGUUCGGAUUUACUGGGCGUAAAGGGUGCGUAGGCGGACUGAUAAGUCAGGGGUGAAAUCCCAAGGCUCAACCUUGGAACUGCCUUUGAUACUGUUAGUCUUGAGUUCGAGAGAGGUGAGUGGAACUGCGAGUGUAGAGGUGAAAUUCGUAGAUAUUCGCAGGAACACCAGUGGCGAAGGCGGCUCACUGGCUCGAAACUGACGCUGAGGCACGAAAGCGUGGGGGGCAAACAGGAUUAGAUACCCCAGUAGUCCCUGUCUCUUAUAC